UGCCUCACGGCAGGCGGCCCUGGACUGCGC
rnacentral:sRNA from 1 species